rnacentral:lncRNA from 10 species
GUGGACUGGAAAAGAGGAAGGCAAACGCAGUGGCUAGGCGGAGACCUCCCAAAUCCCACGUCUCCCCGAGAAUCCCCGACGGGCUACAGACCUAGGGCAGCCAUAAGAAAAAACGUCAGCUACAUCUCGAGGGAGUGGGGUGGAGUGCGGGCGCUUGCUCUAGUCGAGCCCUGACAUCGAUUCUGCGGGGGCGGGGAGGAGUCGGCGCGGGGCUGGGGCUGGGAGGGGAGUUUAUUUAUUAGCCAGAUUAGCCAGCAUUAAUGGGGGAGCGGUGGCGGCCGGCGGCAGCAGGGACAUAGCUGGCAUAGCUGGCAUAGCGGCGGGGCCUCCUGCGGCGCGGGGCUCCGCGGCUUCAAAGGGGCUUAAAGAGGCCCUUGGUGGCACUGCCACGGCCCCGCGGGGGAGGGCGUGGGCGCGGGCGGCGGGGGAGAAGGCGGCCAUUGUGCACCGAGGGAUUAGGGCUCUGGCCUGGAAGGAAUUUUAAACUGCCGCGAGCCGGAGCCCCAGGACUCUCCUCCUGCCCCACCCCUGCCCUCCGGAGCACGCUGAGGUGUUUACCUGCUUUCCUAUGUCUGGGGUGGAGGGGGUGUCCUCUCUCCUCCCUCAAACUGGAGGCACCUAGGGUUACCAGAUCUGGCAAAUAAAAACACAAGACUUCCAGUUAAACUGGAUACUUUAAAUAGUGUAAGUCUGUCCCAAAUAUUGUAUGGGACAGACUUAUGCUAAAAUAUUAUUCGUUGUUUAUCUGAUAUUCAAUUUAAUUGGACGUCUUGUAUUUUUUUUCCUGGCAGCCCUUGAGGCAUUGAAAUCUCUAAUCCAUGUCUGGAAACAGAUUGAUGGUUCCCGAAAGUCCAGUGGGUAUGCCUCAUUUGAGAGAUCCCUAAGGGCAGGGUCGUGUCUCUCCCCUUACACUGGGAGUUUCCUGAAGCCCAGAUACUGAGUUUCACCCUAAAGAAGGCAGCUCUGAGAGCACUAUAUGUGUCCCCCGUCAGACUGGGAGCUUCCUGAGGACAGGGGCUAAAUUUCACCCAUGAGAGUAACGCUUCAAGAAACACUCUGUCUUCCUGCUUUGAGGACAGCUGAAGUCUUGCCACUUCUUCUGGAUGCUCUGACCAUCAGUAAGAGACACGGUCUGACUUUGUUACCCCGGCUGGAGUGCAGUGGUGCAAUCAUGGCUCACUGCAGCCUUAACCUCCUGGGCUCAAGUGAUCCUCUCGCCAAGGCUAGGAUAAGUAGCUAGGACUACAGAUGCGCCCCAUCACGCCCAGCUAAUUUUACAACUUCUGUAGAGAUGGAGUGUUGCUGGGUUGCCCAGGCUGGUCUUGAAUUCCUGGGCUCAAGCGAUCCUCCUGUGUCCGGAAUUGGUGGGUUCUUGGUCUCACUGACUUCAAGAAUGAAGCCGCGGACCCUCGCGGUGAGUGUUACAGUUCUUAAAGACAGCGUGUCCAGAGUUUGUUCCUUCUGAUGUUCAGAUGUGUUCAGAGUUUCUUCCUUCUGGUGGGUUCGUGGUCUCGCUGGCUUAGGGGUGAAGCUGCAGACCUUCGCGGUGAGUGUUACAGUUCUUAGGGCGGCGCGUCUGGAGUUGUCUGUUCCUCCCGGUGGGCUCGUAGUCUCGCUGGCUUCAGGAGUGAAGCUGCAGACCUUCGCGGUGAGUGUUACAGCUCAUAAAGGCAGCGUGGACCUACAGAGUGAGCAGUAGCAAGAUUUAUUGCAAAGAGCAAAAGAACAAAGCUUCCACAGCGUGGAAAGGGAUCCCAGC